CAAAGUGUAGCCCAACUAAAGCACCUCGUUUACACCGAGCAGAUGUCUGUUAACUCAGACCACCUUGA
rnacentral:tRNA from 1 species